GGGAUCUACAGGGAUGGGAAAGUUAUACUCUCUGACAUGCCUGAAGAUCUGCUCCUCAUCUGAGCUUUAAGAAGACAAGAGAUGAUAGGAGAGAGGGAGGGAAAAGGAACAAUAAAUACUCAAUAGCUGGAGUUCUGAAAUUAGUCUAGAUAAACAGAAAGCUUCCCUGGGAGACCUCGGGUUUGGGGUACAUGUGUCCCUGAAGUCCAGGCAUUUGUCCAGUUCUUGCUGCUGUCAGCUGCAUCUCUUUGGGGGAAGAGGAGGAGGAGGAGGGAUUCUAGGGCAGGUUUCUUUGUGCCUUUCUCACACUGGGCUUGCACACAGGGCAGUAAUCAGAACUGACAACAUAGGGGCUCUGCUGUGAGCACCAUCACCACUAAAUGUCCAGGCCCUCAGCAGCCUUUAAAUGUAGUUUAAACAAAUCCUGGCCUGUGGGGACAUGCAGUCCUCCAGGAAUCUCCUGAGAUGCCCCUGACAGUCCAAGGUGCCAGAAGGGAAUAGCUGUUUCCUGACAUCUUCUCUCCAAUUCUCAUGGGAACCCAAAUAGGAGAUGGCAGCCCCCUAUAAGAUACUGAUGCCACUUAAUGCUGUUUGGGAACACUGGCCAAGACACGGAUGAGAAGUCCAAAUUCUCCAACCCUCCAAAGUUUACAAGGCACAAGUCAAGACAUCCUCCUGUGAUCUCAUUGGUCCUCUUCAAAAAUGAAGGACAAAUAACACCUCCCAUGAUGUGAUGAAAAAAUUGAUGUGGUUGAUGUUCAGAUAUUGACAGGAUGCUUUGAGAAUAUCGGCAGGAGCUCUCCAUCCGGCCAGGCAACAUAGGCACAGUGGACCAGGGUCUUUCCCUUCUUUUGAGUCUGUCCAGAAUUAAGCAAAAGUAACCUGAAAUCACCUCAGGGUAUUUAACAUAUUAAAGCAAACCAUUUGAAUUAUGGUUUUCAUACCCUUUCUCCCCCAAGUGGAGAAACAAGGUGAAGUAUGGGUAAAGUGACAUCAGUUCCUUGGUAACAGUGGGGCAACAAGAUCCCAAACAAAUCAUUCUUUCCUUAGUAAGUAAACAAGAUAAAAAAAAAGAUUCCUGAAAACCUCUCAGAGAUUUUCCAUCAUCCAGCCUUUCCAUCACAACAGCUACUCCAUCACCAAGGCUGUUCCUCCCUCAAUAAAGCUUAUUCCUUCACCA
rnacentral:lncRNA from 1 species